AACGUCCGUCGUGGAGAGGGAAACAACCCAGACCGCCAGCUAAGGUCCCAAAGUAUUGCUAAGUGGGAAACGAUGUGGGAAGGCUCAGACAGCUAGGAUGUUGGCUUAGAAGCAGCCAUCAUUUAAAGAAAGCGUAAUAGCUCACUAGUCGAGUCGGCCUGCGCGGAAGAUGUAACGGGGCUAAGCAAUACACCGAAGCUGCGGCAAUGUCUUUUAGACAUUGGGUAGGGGAGCGUUCUGUAAGCCGUUGAAGGUGAAUCGUAAGGUUUGCUGGAGGUAUCAGAAGUGCGAAUGCUGACAUGAGUAACGACAAAGGGGGUGAAAAACCUCCUCGCCGGAAGACCAAGGGUUCCUGUCCAACGUUAAUCGGGGCAGGGUGAGUCGACCCCUAAGGUGAGGCCGAAAGGCGUAAUCGAUGGGAAACGGGUUAAUAUUCCCGUACUUCUGACUAUUGCGAUGGGGGGACGGAGAAGGCUAGGUGGGCCAGGCGACGGUUGUCCUGGUUCAAGUGCGUAGGCUUGAGAGUUAGGUAAAUCCGGCUCUCUCUAAGGCUGAGACACGACGUCGAGCUACUACGGUAGUGAAGUCAUUGAUGCCAUGCUUCCAGGAAAAGCCUCUAAGCUUCAGAUAGUCAGGAAUCGUACCCCAAACCGACACAGGUGGUCGGGUAGAGAAUACCAAGGCGCUUGAGAGAACUCGGGUGAAGGAACUAGGCAAAAUGGUACCGUAACUUCGGGAGAAGGUACGCUCUUGAUGGUGAAGUCCCUCGCGGAUGGAGCUGACGAGAGUCGCAGAUACCAGGUGGCUGCAACUGUUUAUUAAAAACACAGCACUGUGCAAAAUCGCAAGAUGACGUAUACGGUGUGACGCCUGCCCGGUGCCGGAAGGUUAAUUGAUGGGGUUAGCGCAAGCGAAGCUCUUGAUCGAAGCCCCGGUAAACGGCGGCCGUAACUAUAACGGUCCUAAGGUAGCGAAAUUCCUUGUCGGGUAAGUUCCGACCUGCACGAAUGGCGUAAUGAUGGCCACGCUGUCUCCACCCGAGACUCAGUGAAAUUGAAAUCGCUGUGAAGAUGCAGUGUACCCGCGGCUAGACGGAAAGACCCCGUGAACCUUUACUACAGCUUGGCACUGAACAUUGAACCUACAUGUGUAGGAUAGGUGGGAGGCUAUGAAGACGUGACGCCAGUUGCGUUGGAGCCGUCCUUGAAAUACCACCCUUGUAUGUUUGAUGUUCUAACUUAGACCCAUUAUCUGGGUUGAGGACAGUGCCUGGUGGGUAGUUUGACUGGGGCGGUCUCCUCCCAAAGAGUAACGGAGGAGCACGAAGGUGGGCUAAUCACGGUUGGACAUCGUGAGGUUAGUGCAAUGGCAUAAGCCCGCUUAACUGCGAGAAUGACGGUUCGAGCAGGUGCGAAAGCAGGUCAUAGUGAUCCGGUGGUUCUGUAUGGAAGGGCCAUCGCUCAACGGAUAAAAGGUACUCCGGGGAUAACAGGCUGAUACCGCCCAAGAGUUCAUAUCGACGGCGGUGUUUGGCACCUCGAUGUCGGCUCAUCACAUCCUGGGGCUGAAGUCGGUCCCAAGGGUAUGGCUGUUCGCCAUUUAAAGUGGUACGCGAGCUGGGUUUAGAACGUCGUGAGACAGUUCGGUCCCUAUCUGCCGUGGGCGUUGGAAGAUUGAAGGGGGCUGCUCCUAGUACGAGAGGACCGGAGUGGACGAACCUCUGGUGUUCGGGUUGUGUCGCCAGACGCAUUGCCCGGUAGCUAAGUUCGGAAUUGAUAAGCGCUGAAAGCAUCUAAGCGCGAAGCGAGCCCUGAGAUGAGUCUUCCCUGACAGUUUAACUGUCCUAAAGGGUUGUUCGAGACUAGAACGUUGAUAGGCAGGGUGUGUAAGCGUUGUGAGGCGUUGAGCUAACCUGUACUAAUUGCCCGUGAGGCUUAACCAU
rnacentral:rRNA from 1 species